CAUCAGCUCCCGGGGCUCUGCUGCGGCGGCUGCUGCUCGAUGUGGGAUCUGAAGAAAUUUUUGUAAAAGGACUUCUUCACGGUUUUGGAAGCGGAGUUAACAGUAUUAACCCCAUUGGUAAAACACUAAUUUUGAGAAGAGUUCUUACUAGGAGCUAGAGAAGAAAAAUGAAGAAAAAGGCAUCUGCUACAAAUACUACCAUCAACAGAAACGUUACCUGUCUAGCCCAGCUGUGACGUUCUUUCCCCGAUUUAUACAGCUUACAUCUUUCUGUGACUAUUCCUGUACUAGAACUGUAUGUACUGGCACGUCUUUUCGUGGAAAAUCGCUAAUUAAUGGCAAAGGAAGAAAAGUAGAAUUCUCUAUCAGCUCAGAUUCCCUCUCAUUCUUGUCUUUAAAUUAAGUUUCCAGAAGUUGUGAUUGUGCAGAAGUAUUUCAUACAUAGUUUAAGAGUUACUAACGUAGCACAUCUACCUUUACUAGCAGUGAGCUUGAACUAGCACAACUGCAGUGUAACUGCUCUGUUCAUUUUCAUUGUCACUAUGAUCUAAAAUCUCAGUUGGCACUUCAGAUGUGAACGUUAAUAGCUGCAUUAUUCAAAACCUUUAAGAAAGUUCGGAUUAUCUCAUCUCAGAAAGUUCUUUAAUAAUAUAUUAACUAUGGAGAGUUCUUAGCAGCAGGAUUCCACUUGUCUUAGUGAUGAGCAUGAUUUGCAGGAGUUUGAGAAAAACUUUUCUUAAAUGAUCUUUAUUCCAUGCUGGUGCAACGUGACUACCAAAGAAACAAACAAGUAACAGCAGUUGAAGCAAAAACACUAGAUGGUGUUCACUUACUUGAUAAUCUACCUUUAUCCAUUCUUUAAAAAAUGGGGGUUUUAACCACUACUGUGUCACAAUCUUUACGAUAUUUUAGUCACCCUGACCCAUCUACUUAUUUUAGACAUGCCUUGUUAGCAGUAGAACUUCUGUCUCAGAAUAUCACUUUAUAGUUAUCAAUAGUUAGCAGCAGGAGCAGAGAGUCAAACACAUUAUUGCUGGCUAUUAGCAUUUAAAUCCAUUAUGAUGCAGACAACAAGAGAAAUGAUAGACGUCAUAAUGCUUGUAACACCACAAUCUACUUGUAGCCUGCUCCACCCUAAGACUCUUCCCAGUCCAUAUUGGUAAAGCUAUACAGAUAACAGAAAUGAUAGAAGACUUGAAAGAAAAUUCCAGGGUCAGUAGAUCUGAGUGGAAUCCAUGGUCUGAGAGAGACAAUCCUCUUUACUUUCUUCUUCCUAUCCAUGCUCAUCAAAUAGGUAAGGUAAUUUCAAAUGAUUCUACUAUGCACUAUAAACUUGAGGGGGAGCAAGGAGUACAAAAAUAACCUCCCUGCACAAUAUGACCUCCCUUCUGACUUCAGGAGUUCAUGGUCCCUAAAAUAAGAGGUAACAGCCUCCCCAGGCUCAUUGCCAGGCGUCUUUAGAUCAGAGGCUGCUGGUCCUACUGACUGGUGCCAAAUUAUGUGUGAUGGUUUUCCUGAUGUACUCAACUGUCUGCUAGGGACUGAGCCGAGACCACGAAACUAAUUUCAUGUAGGAGUUCAGGUUUAAGUCAUUUUUAAACCACAUUAACAUAUUUCAUAUAUUUUCUCUCCAGGAAAAAAAAAUCCCUUGAGAGGCCAAAGCAGAAUAGUUUCUAUAACAUAAGGUAAUCUUAAAUAUGAAAGAUGUAGGAUCUGCCUAUGACUUGCCGUCAAUUACAGAAUUUAUCCCAUAGCCGAUGAAACAAGUUUAAUAAACCACUUAAGUGUUAUAAGGUAUGCUUCCUACCAACAUGAAUUAUGUAUCUAUCUGCAGCCAAAUGUACGUGUUCUAUCGCUCUGAAUAUUAAAUACAGAAACUAUGUUUAAAUAAUGUGAAGGGUCUGAUUUAAAGCAACAAAAGCCAAUAAAUUCAAAGUUUA